rnacentral:rRNA from 1 species
GAUUGAACGCUGGCGGCAGGCCUAACACAUGCAAGUCGAGCGGAUGAAGGGAGCUUGCUCCUGGAUUCAGCGGCGGACGGGUGAGUAAUGCCUAGGAAUCUGCCUGGUAGUGGGGGAUAACGUCCGGAAACGGGCGCUAAUACCGCAUACGUCCUGAGGGAGAAAGUGGGGGAUCUUCGGACCUCACGCUAUCCGAUGAGCCUAGGUCGGAUUAGCUAGUUGGUGGGGUAAAGGCCUACCAAGGCGACGAUCCGUAACUGGUCUGAGAGGAUGAUCAGUCACACUGGAACUGAGACACGGUCCAGACUCCUACGGGAGGCAGCAGUGGGGAAUAUUGGACAAUGGGCGAAAGCCUGAUCCAGCCAUGCCGCGUGUGUGAAGAAGGUCUUCGGAUUGUAAAGCACUUUAAGUUGGGAGGAAGGGCAGUAAGUUAAUACCUUGCUGUUUUGACGUUACCAACAGAAUAAGCACCGGCUAACUUCGUG